rnacentral:lncRNA from 10 species
GAUCUCUCAUCUCCACACAUGGGGAGAAAAACCCACAGACCCUGUGGGGCUGGUCCCUACAUUAUUAGUCAUAAUUUUGUUUUCUAUGUUAACUUUUGCCUAGAGUUAUAUUUAUGUGGAUAUGUUAUAUGGAUUUUUAUACCCAUAUGACUUUCUAUAUUGCUAUAAAAUUGUUCUCACCCAUAAAAUACUGAUAAUACUGAUAUGUGACAGAUUUCCUGCUUCCUAAGUUUUCACUAUAAUUUAAGGUUACUACAAGUUUAAAAUUCUAAUUAAUAUAGGCCAGGUACAGUGGCUCAUGCCUGUGAUCCCAGCACUUCGUGAGGCCGAUGUGGGUGGAUCGCUUGAGCCCAGGAGUUUGAGACCACUCUGGGCAACAUGGUAAAACCCCAUCUCUACAAAAAAUACAGAAGUUAGCCAGGCAUGGUGACACAUGCCUGUAGUCCCAGCUACUGGGGAGGCUGAGGUGGGAGGAUUGCUUGAGCCCAGGAGGUUGAGGCUGCAGUGAACUGUGAUUGUGCCACUGCACUCCAGCAAGGGUGGCAGAUUGAGACUUGUCUCAAAUAAAAUAAAAUAAUAAAAUUUUAAUUAAUAUGGAUAAUUCUUUUUGUGGGGUGGGGGAACAGGAUCCCACUCUGUUACCCAGGCUGGAAUGCAGUGGCAUGGUCAUAGCUCACUGCAACCUCGAACUCUUGGGCUCCAGCAAUCCUCCUGCCUCAGCCUCCCAAAGUGCUGGGAUUACAGGUGUGAGCCACCAUGCCUAGCCUAACUAAUAUAUAUAAUUCUAUAUAAAAGUGUGCCUUAAAAAGUAGGAUGAAUUUUUAAUAAGAAAAAAUGUAUAAGAAAUGCAUACAAAUAUGCUCUUUAUUGAGAAAGAAGUAAUAAUUUUAUAUAAUUUGGAGGUUAUUUAAAGGUUGUUUCAAAAUAUUGAUUCAGCAAAAAAACAGUGAAAUGUUAAAGAAGAACCAGUAAGUAGAAGAGAGAGAUGUGAAGAAAGUUAUUGAUA